CCCAUAGGCACAGUAAUCUAAUAAUCUAAAACACAAAUGCAUGCGAGUGAGUGUUACUACCUGACGUUAGUCCAGAAGAAGCUAAAAAGCUCAGCCUAGGUCUCAAUUGUACGUAGAUGCACGAAAGGCACCAUUGAAUGUCUCUUUCCACAAUUUCACGCAUGCAGGAAAUCAUGCCGUUAUUCACGCAAUGAUAGACACGAAACUCAGUGCUCAGUCUGGAAAAAAUAUUGUAAUUAUAGGCUAUUAUUACUGCGUUAAAUGUAAAUGAUUUCUUCCCUUCAAGAGAGCACACAAGAUAUUCGCUUAUCUUCAUUUUUGGAAAAGUAUUUGCAAGGAACAUGUCACAUGAUCUUGCUCUAAAAUCAAUUAAUACAUCUGGAAAAAUUUUCAUGUUUCAUGUAUAUCAUCAACGUGUUUUCCUAUACACUAUUUACACUUUUUCUUUUUCUUUUCAAUGUAAAUGCAAUGAACGUCUUAAUUUCUUGGGGGGAAGCUGUUAAUUCAGUUACGAUACAUGCCCGCAGUACUGCACAAAUGUUCCCUUAUUUUGAAUCAAUUAUGUCAAUUUAAUUGCCACAACCAUUCAUGCGUCCAUGACCAUGGGUUUGAUUUUAGUGUUUCGUACAAAGUCGUAUGUGUCCUUUCGCCGUAAACGAGUUUUAUUUCCUCCCGAGUACAUUCAAGUCGAUCCACAGCACAAGUGUCAGUUUUAAAUGUUUGUCCCUAGUUGAAAUAGUCGACAUCGCCAAUAUUUGAAUAUUAAUAUGCAUUUUCCAAUUAAGGUGCUUGAAGGUUCUAUGGUAAACGAAGCUUUUCUACUUUUGCAGCCGGUAAAUAGAGUUGCCAUAUGCAACACGAUCCAUGUUGUACAGUUUAAUAGUACAAUGUUAAUAAGGUGAAAUUAUUUUUCGUUAGUAAAACUUGUCAGGAUGAUUCAAGUUACACAUACUGCUAUCUUUGUCCGUAUAUAUACACAUACACUGCAACUGCACGGCGAUUUUUAGCGGUUGAUCAAGGAUCUUUCGGUUUCUAAUGAGACUUGAACAUCACCGGCGAUGCAACAAAACGAACAGCACUGAUGGUACUUUUACUUCAUAACUCCGACAGUGCUGCAUUAGCAUGUUCUAUGUCGUAACUGUUUCUAGUUUCACUUCCCCCAUUAACAAUAAUAAGAUCGCUUCAGUUCUUAAAGUCCAACUUAAAAGCUAAAUGUUUUCAAGAAAGUUAAGCAUCUUUAAAUUGUGCGGCUGUUAGGAAAAACAAUGUUCCUUUUCUGAUACAAGCAUGAUAAUUACAG